AUCCCAUGAUGAGGGCACUUACGAAGUAAUUCUUUGAAUAUUUCACAUGCCUCGUACAAAGAUUCGCCAUCCAAUUAUUCAAAAGUGGUUAUCUCAUUUCGUAACUU
rfam:Gossypium raimondii Chr02_contig_679, whole genome shotgun sequence.